GUGAGGAAUAUUGGUCAAUGGGCGAGAGCCUGAACCAGCCAAGUCGCGUGAAGGAAGAAGGAUCUAUGGUUCGUAAACUUCUUUUGCAGGGGAAUAAAGUGCAGGACGUGUCCUGUUUUGUAUGUACCCUGAGAAUAAGGAUCGGCUAACUCCGUGCCAGCAGCCGCGGUAAUACGGAGGAUCCGAGCGUUAUCCGGAUUUAUUGGGUUUAAAGGGUGCGUAGGUGGUUUGAUAAGUCAGCGGUGAAAGUUUGCAGCUUAACUGUAAAAAUGCCGUUGAAACUGUCGGACUUGAGUGUAAAUGAGGUAGGCGGAAUGCGUGGUGUAGCGGUGAAAUGCAUAGAUAUCACGCAGAACUCCGAUUGCGAAGGCAGCUUACUAAGCUACAACUGACACUGAAGCACGAAAGCGUGGGGAUCAAACAGGAUUAGAUACCCCGGUAGUC
rnacentral:rRNA from 1 species